CGGGGAUGGGCGAUGUCUCGGUCUCGGUCUCGGGCUCCGCGGGGUGAAUCGGCUGCAAGAGAUGAAUGGCUAAACCCAAGAGGAGAGCGAGGGGUCCAGAGGUGCUGAUCGCCAUCUUCGGCGCUCCAGGCAGGCCAGGAUCUAGCAUUAAAGAAACAUUUAAGAAGGCUGCAAACUACUGAAUGUGUCCAGCCUCCUAGAACGACUGGUUGAAAAGAAUGCCUCUAUUCAGUUGCACUAUUUGAUCAUGACCACAAGCAGAGGGAGGAAAGACCUGGCUGACAACUGCAUAUUUCAGAAAGGAGGACAACAGCUUUGCCUGUGGAAGAUGAUACUUCAUUUCUGUUAAGCAGCACAAGAUU